rnacentral:misc_RNA from 1 species
GAUGAAGAACGCAGCGAAAUGCGAUAAGUAAUGUGAAUUGCAGAAUUCAGUGAAUCAUCGAAUCUUUGAACGCACAUUGCGCCCCCUGGUAUUCCGGGGGGCAUGCCUGUUCGAGCGUCAUUUCACCACUCAAGCCUCGCUUGGUAUUGGGCAACGCGGUCCGCCGCGUGCCUCAAAUCGACCGGCUGGGUCUUCUGUCCCCUAAGCGUUGUGGAAACUUUCGCUAAACGGUGUUCGGGAGGCUACGCCGUAAAACAACCCCAUUUCUAAGGUUGACCUCGGAUCAGGUAGGGAUACCCGCUGAACUUAAGCAUAUCAAUAAGCGGAGGA